AAUGAACUUAGAUUUCUAUAAUAGUGGCUCAUUAAUAUUUUCCACCGAUAACAAAGAUCUUGAGUAGGCAGUUUCGAGUGAUGGCGACCUUCCUCCGCCUGGCUGUGAUCCUCCUCACAACAACUUCAGUCUUUUCUCGCGUCCCACAGGACAAUGUUGAUAAUGAAGAUCAAACCUGGAGAGGAGGAGGAAAGGAAGGAGAAGGAGGAGGAGGAACAGAGACAACGCGCUCAGUGAUCCCAGAUGGUCGUGAACCUCCACCGCCUGUGAGUGGAAAGUUUGGCGCGGGUGUCAGUGAGGGUGGUGUUGAGAACCCCUUCCAACUAAACCUGCUGGAGGUGCUGCAGAACAUGUCCUCCCAGCAGCAGGGCCCCUCCCCCUCCAGCACCACCACCCUGCCCCCCGACUACUACUCUGGCCUGCCCACUGUGUCCUGCUACAAGUGCUACCAACCCAACUGCGACAGCCUCACCACCUGCCACAAUGCUCUGAAGUGCUGGCAGGCUCAAUACAUGACGGACAAUGGACAGCUGGUGAACGCACGCGGCUGCCUCUCCAAGCCGGACCACGUGCCCAUGCAGUGUAACAUUAAGACAAACCCAGAGAGGCCGCUCAUCAUGGACUGCUGCAACACUGACAUGUGCAAUAAUGGCACGCUGCCCCCCCUGCCCUCCUUUGCCAAAGAUGGUGCUGGCGGUGAGUCCCAGCUGCUCCGAGUGUUCCUAUGGCACGUGUUACCCAUCCUGGGCGUGGUGGUGGUGGCAGUGGUAGUGGUGGUGGUGCUUCGUCGUGCCCACCAGCGCCGCAUGAGGGAGUACGCCGCUGCUGCCGCCUCCGCCCUGCCGCUACACCACAACCUCUACCGGGAUGACCUCAGAGCCACGGCCGCUGGGGACUCUACUCUGAGGGAGAUCUUCAACGACUCCAUCACCUCAGGCAGUGGGUCCGGUCUUCCUCUGCUCAUCCAGCGCACACUCGCCAAGCAGAUCUGGCUGGCGGAGGUGAUUGGCAAGGGGCGGUAUGGCGAGGUGUGGUGCGGGGUGUGGCAGGGAGAGAAGGUGGCUGUCAAGAUAUUUUUCUCCCGUGAUGAGGCGUCCUGGGCCAGGGAGACAGAAAUAUACAGCACGGUUCUUCUACGCCACGAGAACAUCCUUGGCUUCUACGGCUCGGACAUGACGUCGAGAGGGUCAUGCACACAGCUCUGGCUCGUCACACACUACCACCCGCGUGGCUCCCUGCACGACUACCUCACCACCCACACCCUCGACCACACGGGCCUCAUCACCGUUGCCCUCUCCACCAUCAAUGGCCUCCUCCACCUCCACACUGAGAUAUUCGGUAGUCAGGGGAAGCCAGCCAUUGCCCACCGAGAUAUAAAGUCCAAGAAUAUAUUGGUGAAGUCACACUCAGGCGCCUGUGUGAUCGCUGACUUCGGCCUGGCGGUGAUGCACACUCAGACCACCGGCGAGAUCAACAUAAGCAACAACCCGCGUGUCGGCACCAAGCGAUACAUGAGCCCUGAGGUCCUCAAUGAGUCGAUCAACAUGAGCGUCUUUGAGUCAUUCCGCAAGGUUGACAUCUACGCGCUGGGACUCGUGCUGUGGGAGGUGUGUCGCCGCUACGUGUCGAACGGCCUCGUCGAUGAGUACCGUGUCCCCUUCCAUGACCAGGUUCCGUCCGACCCCAGCUUUGAUGACAUGAAGAAGGUGGUGUGUGUGGACCAGCAGAGACCCAUGAUCCCCAACCGAUGGACCUCUGACCCGGUAUUGGCGGGGAUGUCUAAGAUCAUCCGCGAGUGUUGGCACCAGAACCCCAACGUGCGGCUGACGGCUCUCAGGGUCAAGAAGUCCCUCAUGAAGCUUGCGCAGGAGGACACAAAGAACAAGGUGGACAUCGACUACUGAAGGGGACGAGGAGGCUAUUUAUAUCCUGAAGCUUUCCCAGGAGGCACAUCAGUCGUGAUACAUAUAAUACAACCCGUCAUUUCUCGAAGCCUGUCCUCAGUGGUUGUUAGGUCGUCUGAACCGCCGGAGUUUUGGUUGUGGGCACAAGUGGCAGCUACAGUUGUUAUAAGCUAAGGAAGGACAGUCACCAUGAUCCACUUGUAUACAGAUGAUGCUUCUUUUUCUUUCUCUCUCCUGCCUGAUUUUUUUUAGUCUCGUAUCAGUCUCCAUCAACAGUAAUGUGGCUGAUUUGUCUUAUUUUGACCUGUUUUUCGGGGUGUGGUUAGUUGGCUUUGUUGAUUUUUUAUGUCAUUUUUUACGACUGAUGGUGUUGGUGGAAAUAUAUAUAGACAGCCCAAAAUUCCGUCAGUUAGUUUUGUAUGGCAGAAAUAUAACAACACCUAUAUAUAGACGAUAGUUAAAACACCUCUUACGUGAUGUAACUAUGCUUAUGCUGAGGUCCUAGGGUCGGCAGUGACUAUAUAUAUAGACGAUUCAUUUUGGGGGAGCUACUCUUCAAAUACUGCCGCCGUCGAAGGGUUAGUAAUGUCGACUGAACUCUGAAAAUCCAACCCUUCUAACUAACUCCGUCCCAAACAUUGAAUGAAAAAGCCAAACUAGCCACAUGACUCAAAAAAUGCUAAUAUACGACAUUUAAAAAAUCAGGUGUAUUUUAUUUUUGUUCAUUCUGUGUAACGGCAUGACAAGCAGGAAUUAGCAGGGUUCCGUUAGGCAGUGUUAUUAAAGAUUUUAUUACUGGUCUUGUUUUGUUUUUAACCCGGUAGCAGGGGAUCAUGUUUCUUAAUGGUCCCUCUAAGCGAGAAAAAUGAGAAAAAAUCGUCACUCACACAAACCAUUUCAUAAUAUAUAUCAAAGCAUUUGUGAUCAGUUUAUGCAUCAUCUAUUUCGGGGGGGUUUAUAUCAUGGCACAAAUUUGGCCCGUCGCUGCUGCACGGUAAAGCCACAAAUUUGGCUCGUCGCUGCUACCGGGUUAAGAGUUGCCUCCACAAGCUUCUUGAUGUGUGCCUCCUGCUGCUUGGGAUUCAGUUAUCUCUUUGUGAAGUGGCAUCUCAGUGAGGAGGCUUUUGUGACCCAAUACCAGAGUGUAAUUUGUACCUAGACGAACCCUGCUACAUGGUACUGUUUGGUCACUGCUUCACACACACACACACACACACACACACACACACACAAACACAAACACACACAAACACACUGGUUAAUCCAUCCAUCCAGCGUUGACUUGUUCGUUCCCUUGCAGUGGUUGUCAGAGUAUGAGUCUUACGUGUGUGUGGUAAGGGAUGAGGCAAGACAUGCUUCCACUCCUCCCUUCUUCAUCCCAUCCAACGAAUCUCAUUGCCUUUAUCAUCACCUCAUUUCAAUGGCCAUACCAUGAAACACAGUCAUGAUACGAUUAUGUAAAAACUAUUGCAAGGGAAAGUGAGCCAACUGAUUGUAGGUAACCGCAAAACUAGUAGCGUUCUUUUUUAUUAGUAACGAAACAGAAAUGUAACAGAGCCAACAGGUGGUCAGUAAGAAGAUUACAUCCUCUCAAUAGUAACUAAGCAGAAAUAGAAGUGAGCCAGCAGGUAGUAAGUCAAGGCAAGUCUUUCAUUUAAUCUUUAGCAUAGCGGAAAUACAACGUCCAGGUUUAGCAAGUUUUUUUUUAUUCAUUAACUUAGCGGAAAUGCAACAUCCAGGUUUAGCAAGUUGUUUUUUUAUUCAUUAACUUAGUGGAAAUACAACAUCCUGGUUUAGCAAGUUGUUUUUUAUUCAUUAACUUGGCGGAAAUACAACGUCCAGGUUUAGCAAGUUGUUUUUUGUUCAUUAACUUAGCGGAAAUACAACAUCCAGGUUUAGCAAGUUGUUUUUUUAAUCAUGAACUUAACAGAAAUACAGUGCCCAGGUCUUGAAGGAUGCAUUUUACCAUGUUGCCAGUUGUAUUCUUAGCUGCUGGUAACACUAUCUGGAACUCUAAUAUAAUACUCAUGCAAGCCUUGGAGGGACUUCGAUUCAUCUUUCUGACAGGUAAAUUCUCCAAUAUAAAACCCCCACGUCAGUUAGUACACAUAUCUGGAAAGAGUUUAAUGUAGAAAAUUGAACUGAGACAUUAAAAUUGAGUAGUUGUAGUGAAGUUUGUUAAUUAUUUUACAAGGUGUAUCCGUGAUUUUCAACUCUCUCUAUACAUGUGAAUAGGCAAACAUACUCUAUAGAAAGAAUGGGUUACAAGAUACUCCAUCCAUGAUUUCUGCUACGCUGUCCAUUUAGCUUUUAUAUUGUAGGAUCUCUGACGUGUGUGUGUGUGUGUGUGUGUGUGUGUGCGCUUCUAGUUACUACUAAUGCCACUUUUGCCUUAAGUGUAAUACUGUAUUAUAUUUAGAGAGAGCAUAGUUUUUGAAUUGCCAAUGCUAGGUUUAAGGAAGAUAACGCGUACAAAUGUAUGAGGUAGGUGUGGGUGUGGGUUUGAGAGGUGGGUGUCGGUGUUGGUGUGUGUGUGUGCGUGUGUGUGUGGGUAUAUGGGCUGUAUUACAAGUCGGCUUCGAGAAGUUUCGGGUCCCUACAGAGGUUGGUUUAGGGGAUGUAUUACAAGUUGAAUCCGAGAAGUUUUGGGUCCCUACAGUUAUUCAUCCUGAACUCUGUAGGGACCCGAUACUUCUCAAAUUUGACUUGUAAUACGGCCCUGUGUGUGUGUGUUAGUGAUGCAACUUUUUGUUUUACCUGGAAUCAAGAGAACUGUCUGUACACCUGUCUUAUGGGUCUUGUGGGAUCAUUGUGACGAGGGUUUAAGUGCCCGAGGGUUUUAAGCAUAGUUGGUUUCCAUUGGUUUCGUAAAGAGAAUGAGCGGGUCAGAGGAGGGUUGUAAGUGUUUCUAAAGGCAUCCUGUGACAUGCUCCCACAAACAGAGGAUGUGAGGAGCUCCAUCACUGUAUUUGAGGCACAAGAAGGAGUUUGUAGUGAGUGAAUUGGUGAACAUAAGAGCAACAAAUAAGAUGAACAUGAGAUAAACAAGUGGGAGGUUUUAGCAAAUUGACAUAAGCUGAAUAAAUAAGAACAUAAGAACAUAGGAGUCUGCAAGAGGCUGGUAGGCCUGUACGAGGCAGCUCCCUUGAACCUAAGCUCCCGUGAAUCUAACCCCACCAUAUAUCGCUGUCCAUGAAUUUAUCUAAUGUAUUUUUGAAUAUGACAAUUGUAUUGGCACUCACCACAUGACUGCUAAGCCUAUUCCACUCAUCCACCACUUAAAGAAUCCUUGUAACCAAAAACUAACUAAAAUUAUAGGUAUUCUCUUUUUUCAACAGAACAUUGAGUAAGAGAAAUAAGAUGAAAUAGGCACACCUAACGUCACCAAGUGUGGGGUACAAACUUGGCAGAGGGACUGUUUUUGUGCUAUGAGAGGCGGUAGUGGGCUAAAGAGUAGCUUAUCUGGAUUUUUUGUUUUAUUUAUUAAUGAUCCACGAGACAUCCUUGAGCUAAAUCAAAGUAUGUGCUUAUCUUUGUAUUCAUUCAUACACACACUGGUAAUAUUUCUAUGGUAUCUGAUUCACUUAAUUGAGUGAAAUUCUAUUGUGAUAAACAGUCCCAAAUUCUUGUCACUAGUAAAAAUGAAACUAGUAAUGUAAGUUUUGCCUCCAUGAAAUAUACACAAAUAGAUAAAUAUGAAAGCUCACGAAGUCACAGUAAGUGACAUCACCUGCUUUGCGCAGUAAAAAUAUGCUUAUUUAAGGUAUCUGAUAACCGCAAAAUGGUGUGUGAUUUUAGAUAUGCUGAAAAGAGAAACAACACAGUGGAAAGAUUAACUUGUGCAAUAUUGAUAGAAACACCCUCCGCUGAGUGCUGUGUGUGUGUGUGUGUGUGUGUGUGUGUGUGUGUGUUAGGUCACAAAGAAGUGUAUUAUCACAACGCAUAGUAUUUUCCGUGAGGCCACAACUACAUAAAUGGAAACACUUAUUUUUGUCACAAUUUAAUGUUUAUGAAGUAGAUUGUUGUAUUAUUAUUAUUAUUAUUAUUAUUAUUAUUAUUAUUAUUAUUAUUAUUAUUAUUAUUAUCAUUAUUUGUAUUAUAUUUUUUUGUUAUCAUGCAUAGCUAUUAUUUUGUUGAGAUAAAAUUGUUAUCAUUUUUAUUAUAUUGCAAGAUGGAAUUAUUAAACUUGUUAUGGUUGGGUUAUUUUUCAUCUAUUUGCUUGGCAUUUAUAUUUCAAGUAUUUUAUUUAUUUUUUUUUUUUUUUAUAUACUGAAAUUUGGUGAUCAAAAUGCAUAGAACCCCCCCCCCCCCCCUCUCUCUCUCUCUCUCUCUCUCUCUCUCUCUCUCUCUCUCUCUCUCUCUCUCUCUCUCUCUCUCUCUCUCUCUCUCUCUCUCUCUCUCUCUCUCUCUCUCUCUCUCUCUCUCUCUCUCUCUCUCUCUCUCUCUCUCUCUCUCUCUCUCUCUCUCUCUCUCUCUCUCUCUCUCUCUCUCUCUCUCUCUCUCUCUCUCACCACCACCCUGAAUUUCGUAACAGUGCAUAAAUGUGAUGGCAGAUUUUUCAUUAAUAUAUAUAUAUACUACCAUUAAAAAAAAUCAUCAUUAACCUUUAUUUUUUUACAUUAAUGACCCGUAUAAAAGAAGCAGCGAGAACGGAGUCAAUCAUUGCUCAUUUCACUGCAACAAAGAAGAAGAAGAAAAAUCACUGUUGGUUUAUUUGCUUAUCAGGUUUAGUUAAUGUUGUGUGUGUUGUUUACGUUCUGUACAAAGGUUUUUACUCUUUCGUCCGUGCGCCAUCGAGGUUUAAUACAAGAUAGAGGUAGAGAUAUUUAAUUAAGAGGCAAGCUAAUAAAUACUUCACAGGUGUAUGUACUAGACGUGAAAUCCUGUUAUCUGACCAAAUAAUAAAGAGUUUUUGUAAUA